GUGGGGAAUCUUAGACAAUGGGCGCAAGCCUGAUCUAGCCAUGCCGCGUGAGCGAUGAAGGCCUUAGGGUUGUAAAGCUCUUUCGUGGGGGAAGAUAAUGACUGUACCCCAAGAAGAAGCCCCGGCUAACUCCGUGCCAGCAGCCGCGGUAAUACGGAGGGGGCUAGCGUUGUUCGGAAUUACUGGGCGUAAAGCGCACGUAGGCGGACUGGAAAGUCAGGGGUGAAAUCCCGGGGCUCAACCCCGGAACUGCCUUUGAAACUCCCAGUCUUGAGGUCGAGAGAGGUGGGUGGAAUUCCGAGUGUAGAGGUGAAAUUCGUAGAUAUUCGGAGGAACACCAGUGGCGAAGGCGGCCCACUGGCUCGAUACUGACGCUGAGGUGCGAAAGCGUGGGGAGCAAACAGGAUUAGAAACCCUGGUAGUCC
rnacentral:rRNA from 1 species